UACGUAGGUGGCAAGCGUUGUCCGGAAUUAUUGGGCGUAAAGCGCGCGCAGGUGGUUCCUUAAGUCUGAUGUGAAAGCCCACGGCUCAACCGUGGAGGGUCAUUGGAAACUGGGGAACUUGAGUGCAGAAGAGGAAAGUGGAAUUCCAAGUGUAGCGGUGAAAUGCGUAGAGAUUUGGAGGAACACCAGUGGCGAAGGCGACUUUCUGGUCUGUAACUGACACUGAGGCGCGAAAGCUAGGGGAGCAAACAGG
rnacentral:rRNA from 1 species